rnacentral:rRNA from 1 species
AUCGAACGCUGGCGGCAGGCCUAACACAUGCAAGUCGAGCGAGCGGCGGACGGGCGAGUAAUGUAUGGGGACUGCCCGAUAGAGGGGGAUAACUACUGGAACCGGUGGCUAAGACCGCAUACUAUCGGAUAACCCAUAUGGGAUUAGAUAGUAGGUGAGGUAAAGGCUCACCUAGGCGAAGAUCUAUAGCUGGUCUGAGAGGAAGAGCAGCCAAACUGGGACUGAGACAGGGCCCAGACUCCUACGGAGGAAGAAGUGGGAAAUAUUGCACAAUGGGGGAAAGCCUGAUGCAGCCAGGCCGCGUGUAUGAAGAAGGCCUUAGGGUUGUAAAGUACUUUCAGCGGGGAGGCGUUACCCGCAGAAGAAGCACCGGCUAACUCCGUGCCAGCAGCCGCGGUAAUUC